rnacentral:lncRNA from 1 species
GCGGUUUCAGAAGUCGAAAAGGUGGAAGUUAUUUUUGCUUGCCUCUCGUCGGAUUUUGACGCAGUGUUGACCUUGGCCUCGUUCUCGAUGAAGCCUCUUCCCUUCCAGCAAUUAGUCGACAUCCUUAUGGAAUUUGAAAGUUGACAGAUGCAAGCAGCAUGUGAGGUUCCAAUGCAUGCCCAUCUAAUUGAAAAACCUUUGGUUGCUGCGGUGGUCGACUCAGUUUCGUGCGAUGUACGUGGCAAGCAUUCUUAGGUAGGUUCACGUGGGCAUGGAUUUCAGCCACGAAUACAGUGUCAAAU